AUUUAUGCCACAUUUACUUCAUUCACUUCAGGCAGCGACUCUAACGCCUGCUGUCAGGCUUGGCUGGCCAUGAGGGCCAAGUAUGCGAGAGAAUCGAAGAAACAAAGAGGCCGGAGCGGUGCUGGCCGCGAUGGUCUUGCCGUGCCAACAUGGCACCUCUUCAAGUAACUGGCCUUCCUUAAGGGCCAGAUUCAGCACCGACGGUGAUAUGCUACAUCACUUACUGCUAAGAACAAGCACAGUUGAUAUCGGGUCUGAGUUUAAAACAUUUUUACUCUCUUCCAUCAGCACCAAAGUGCUCCCUGUUGCGGGGGGAGUGGCGUCCACUUCUGCAGCGGCAGCAGACGUUGAAAAAUGAGGCGUGAGCCCAGAGGCAAGUUUGCUUACACGCUACCGGUCUUUAUUCGGAGUGCAGACAAGCUGGCUAAGUUGACGUCAACCAGUUGGUGGCCAAAAUUACCUUCAGGGCUCCUAUUUUGGUCAUGGAGAUCCUUGCGGAAAUGUAUUGCCCUGGAGAGACCGCAACCCCCGCAGAAAAUAGACAGCCUGGGAUGCCUGCUGAUACCGAGAUGGAAGACAUACUGGAGCAUGAAGACAUACAUUUUAUUUAACAACUGCCUUCGAUAAGCAUGUUUGCAAGUGGCUCCUGUGUAAUUACCCUUUUCUCACUCUCCUCUUUCAUUUAAGCGAUUGGCUAUUCUUGGAGGCAGGUCCAAA